rnacentral:rRNA from 1 species
GCCCCGUGAACCGGGGUGCGGACAGUGUCUGGUGGGUAGUUUGACUGGGGCGGUCUCCUCCCAAAGCGUAACGGAGGAGCACGAAGGUUGGCUAAGCAUGGUCGGACAUCAUGCGGUUAGUGCAAAGGCAUAAGCCAGCUUGACUGCGAGAGUGACGGCUCGAGCAGGUACGAAAGUAGGUCUUAGUGAUCCGGUGGUUCUGAAUGGAAGGGCCAUCGCUCAACGGAUAAAAGGUACUCCGGGGAUAACAGGCUGAUACCGCCCAAGAGUUCAUAUCGACGGCGGUGUUUGGCACCUCGAUGUCGGCUCAUCACAUCCUGGGGCUGAAGUAGGUCCCAAGGGUAUGGCUGUUCGCCAUUUAAAGUGGUACGCGAGCUGGGUUUAGAACGUCGUGAGACAGUUCGGUCCCUAUCUGCCGUGGGCGUUGGAAGAUUGAAAGGGGCUGCUCCUAGUACGAGAGGACCGGAGUGGACGCACCGCUGGUGUUCGGGUUGUCAUGCCAAUGGCACUGCCCGGUAGCUAAGUGCGGAAGAGAUAACCGCUGAAAGCAUCUAAGCGGGAAACUUGCCUUGAGAUGAGUCUUCCCUGACUCUUUAAGGGUCCUAAAGGAACGUUUAAGACGAAGACGUUGAUAGGCUGGGUGUGUAAGCGUAGCGAUACGUUGAGCUAACCAGUACUAAUGAACCGUGAGGCUUAACCUG